AAAGGGUCCUGAAGGAACGUUGAAGACGACGACGUUGAUAGGCCGGGUGUGUAAGCGCAGCGAUGCGUUGAGCUAACCGGUACUAAUGAACCGUGAGGCUUAACCUU
rnacentral:rRNA from 1 species